rnacentral:lncRNA from 1 species
GGAGGGUGGGUCCCGGCCAGGAACCCAACCAGGCGGGACCUCCAAGGGCAGCCUGGGAGCUGCGAGAAGGGAAGGACAGGUCAGCUCUGGGUGCAGAGACCCCUCUGGGGCUGCAGGCACAGAAUGGAGGGGGAACCAGAAGCCAGGAGGCCCGGGAGGAGGCUGGGAGGGGCGAGGCAGGGCUUGAGCUAGGCCCCUGAGGGCGACAGAGAGGAGGGUCUGAGGCUGGUGGGCCCUGGGAGGUGAGGAGGCAGGAAUGAGUGGAAGGUGUCCAGGGGCCUGGAUGAACCUGGGGAUCCCCGUUAGGCACCUGCAGAAGUGGGGGACUCAGGCACAGGGAGGCAAGGGGUCCCUGGCUUGGGGUGUGUCCCCUCCUGGAGCCACAGGCCCAUGCGCCCAGGCAGGCAGUUCAUCCAGGCAGCCCACAAGCUGCCCAUGCACCCCUGGCAAGGUGGAGCUGAUGCCCCGCAGGACACACUCAUGAAAGCCCUGGCUGCGCAUGGACCAGGGUGUGGCAGGUUCUGGUUUGCAAGUUUUCCCAAGGUCAAAGGGCAGGUCGUAAAGUUAAAAGCCAGACAGCACCGGAGGGGAAACUGCUGGGGGUUGCAGACUCCCGAACGGCUCUGGCCCCAUCCCAUCCAGAUCCCUGCACCUCCUGCCCGCCCACCGGGCUCCCCACGCCUCUGCUGGUGUGGGUCUCGCUCUCUGCCCCAUCUGGGUGUCUGGCCCCGGGCCCCUGGCUAACCCCCUCUGUCUCUGUGUCUCCCUCUCUCGCUUCGCCUGUCUCAGCCUCCCUUCUCUAUCUCUCUUGCUGGGCAUUUCUCUCCACCCCUCUCUGUCUCUUUGACCCUGUCUCUCUGUCUCUCCCACGGUCUCUCUCAGUCUCUCCUCAGCUCGCUGUCUCUCCCCUCUGUCUGUGUCUCUCCCCUUCUCUCAGUGCCCCUGGGCCCCUCCCUGCCACCCUGUGCCUGUCGCCUGUCCCAUCGCAGGUCCCAGACAGACUGGCGGGGGCCUGAGUGUUGCUAUUCUUGGGCCUGAGUGGCAGGCGGGGCUGUGGCCCCCAGGUGCGUCCUGGGCUAUGGCCAAAUAAGGUCCGGAGUGAGGAGCCCCGGGAGGAGGAGCUGGGGGCGCUGGGGGUGGGGGGAGAGGGGCCAGCUGACCUCCUCCUGCUCCCACUCCCUCCUGCCCCAACCCCCAUAUUCUGGCAGGUGAGAGCGGGCAGGACAGACCAGGUCAUUGCAUCAACUAAGCACUUACUGUCUGCCCCUCACAGUGCAGAGCGCCUGUGCCCCCACCCGCUGGGACUGCUCUUCCCAGGGGAGCGCCUCAGGACUCAGAGGGCUACCGCUUGCCCCAGGGCACCCGGCCAGGCCUGUCCCAGAGCUGAGGGGGCUGGGGCGCCCCGCACAGAUGCCAGUGGCCUCUCCACACCCCCAGGCUGCAGAAAGGGAGAGGGAGGGGCUGUGGUCAAGAGGCAGGCGCAGGGCAGGUGCGGGGGGAGGGGGACAGCUGUCCCACACCCCCUGGUGGUGACAGCUGCUGCCCGAUUUAGCUCACAGAGCCGGGUCUGGCCAGAUAAGGCAGUUGGGUGGGGGGGCGGUCUCACCCCCAGGGCACCCCUUAAAUCGCACAGUCGGGCCCAGGGUUCAGCUGCCACCGACGCCAGGUGGCCCCUGCAUCCCUGCCUGGUGGGCCUUUGCCUCCCUCUCCUGUUCCUGCCUUGCCUGCUCCCAGGUUUCCAGGUCCUGACCAGGAGGCAGGAGUCCAUACCGAGGCCCAAACAGGCUAGCCCUGAGCAGGGCCCCCAAGCCUGAGGCCCAGGAGUGGACAGACCUUUGUGACACCCAUUCUCUCUUCCUUUUCCAUCUGUCCGGAACUCUGGACACUGCCUGGAGGAAUCAGGCCUGCCGUAGGCCCAGGAAGGCGGAAACAAAGACGACGCUCAGAGACAGGAAGCAACUUGCCUAAAGAUACACAGCACAAAUGAGAAAAUUGGUGCCCAAUGUUUCUGAAGACCAGCAACUGCUAAGACAGAGACUUCGAGGGAACCCGACCUUGCCUGAAGGACCAACAGCGCCCCCUGCAGGACACUUCCCUCCAUUGAGAGAAGCCACAGGCGCCGGCCUGAGGCAUUCUGAGUGCGUGGAAUCCUCUAUUACCACCUCCUGGCAAAGAACGGAGCUGCAACCCAGCUAUAUGAGACACCGAGAAUGAUCUCAACAAAAAGGAACAGUGACCAGAAUGCCUGGGGGAGGAACAGGGGAUACUGGGUGGAAGGAGGGGAGAGGGAGAAGUUGUAAUAUUUUGUAAAAAUGAACAUUUUUACUCCUAAUCAAUAUACAAACAUCAUGCUCAGCAAACUUCUUGGUAUGAAACUUCUGAACUUCACACAUUUUCAAGUCAUUCUAUGGGUGGGUGGAUUGGCUCCCAUGGAAAUGCAACUGGGACUGCACAUGGGAAACAAAGGAAAAUGGAAUUUGGUUCACACAAACCUGUUUGGGAGAUUGCAUUUCCAGGAAAUGGGCCAAAUUGAGUUUGUUUCCUUUGUAACAACAUUGUUGUGCCUUGCUGACUGGAAGGUGGGUACAAAUAAAGGAGGAU